AGAGACAGAGAGAGAGAAAGGGGAGAGAGUUGGAUAGCAAGAUAGAGAUAGAGAGACAGAGAGAGACAGAGCGAGAGUAAGAGAGUUUUCUUCAAACAACAGUGAUGGAAACGUUGUUGUAUCUCACCCUGCUAAUCUCAGGAUUCUACACACCUUCCUCAAGCCUUCAUCAGUAUCACCUCAUUACCAACCCUAUGACCUGGACUGAUGCCCAGAGUUACUGCAGAGCACAUUACACUGAUCUGGCUACAGUAGAUGACAUGGAGGACCAGAACAGGCUGAGUACCAGUGUCAGUAGUUAUAAUUCCUGGUUAUGGAUUGGACUGAAGAAGGGAGACUCCAUGAAGUGGUCUCUGGCAGACAGACGUUUCUACAGAGAGGGGGAGACUGAGUUCAGAAACUGGGACACUGGGACACCCCAAAAUGGUAACUGUGCUUUAAUGAGUACAGCUGGGCUGUGGAACAACGCCUCCUGUGAUGACCAGCAUCACUUCCUCUGUUA